UCCCUGAAGAUCCAGUGGUUAAGACUCUGUGCUUCCAAUGCAGGGGGUGCGGGUUCAAUCCCUGGUCAGGGAA
rfam:TPA: Bos taurus chromosome 28, whole genome shotgun sequence.